rnacentral:rRNA from 1 species
UACAGAGGAUGCAAGCGUUAUCCGGAAUUAUUGGGCGUAAAGAGCUCGUAGGCGGUUUGUCGCGUCUGCCGUGAAAGUCCGGGGCUCAACUCCGGAUCUGCGGUGGGUACGGGCAGACUAGAGUGUGGUAGGGGAGACUGGAAUUCCUGGUGUAGCGGUGAAAUGCGCAGAUAUCAGGAGGAACACCGAUGGCGAAGGCAGGUCUCUGGGCCACUACUGACGCUGAGAAGCGAAAGCAUGGGGAGCGAACAGG